UGGGGAAUUUUGGACAAUGGGCGCAAGCCUGAUCCAGCCAUGCCGCGUGCGGGAAGAAGGCCUUCGGGUUGUAAACCGCUUUUGUCAGGGAAGAAAUCUUCUGAGUUAAUACCUCGGGAGGAUGACGGUACCUGAAGAAUAAGCACCGGCUAACUACGUGCCAGCAGCCGCGGUAAUACGUAGGGUGCAAGCGUUAAUCGGAAUUACUGGGCGUAAAGCGUGCGCAGGCGGUUUUGUAAGACAGAGGUGAAAUCCCCGGGCUCAACCUGGGAACUGCCUUUGUGACUGCAAGGCUUGAGUGCGGCAGAGGGGGAUGGAAUUCCGCGUGUAGCAGUGAAAUGCGUAGAUAUGCGGAGGAACACCGAUGGCGAAGGCAAUCCCCUGGGCCUGCACUGACGCUCAUGCACGAAAGCGUGGGGAGCAAACAGGAUUAGAUACCCUGGUAGUCCACGCCCUAAACGAUGUCAACUGGUUGUUGGGAAGGUUCCUUCUCAGUAACGUAGCUAACGCGUGAAGUUGACCGCCUGGGGAGUACGGCCGCAAGGUUGAAACUUAAAUGAAUUGACGGGG
rnacentral:rRNA from 1 species